rnacentral:lncRNA from 1 species
UUUGCUUUGAAUUGAUUUCUAAUUGAAUUUUCCUUUUUUCCCCCUUGUCAUGUUUUCAUUUGAGUCCCAGAACCCUAUGAAGGAUCAGACGCCAAGGCCUGGUAUCCACAUUCUAACCCAUGCAACAUGGAUCAUCAUGCAUGACAAAAAAACCAAGUUCAGAUGAUUGACACAACUACAGACAAUCUAUGUUGUGGGGGUUAAGCCACAAGACUAUUAGAUGUCAGAUAAUUCCACUGCUCAUAAGCUUUGCUGCUUACAAAUUUUUUGUACAAGCAGUUGCCACCAAAACUUUUCUAACAUACAAUUUAAACCAAAAAAUCAUGGAGAGACAGACAAGGGAAUGGAUUAUAAGAUUAAAAAAAUACUAAGUCCAAAAGUGGGUCAUGUGUAACAAUGUCAAUGUAACCAACCCAGAAACCUUUUAGCCCCCAAGACUGCAACAAAUUCUAAUGCCAAAGGAAUGGUCAAACCAAUGUUCCAAGGGACAUAAAGUUGUCUACAAGCAACUGAAAUCAUUGUAUAAUUGUGGUCCAAAGAGAUUAAUGUUUUAAGUUCAUACUUUUCAGGUACAGAUUAGUAAAGAAGCUAAGCCUGUUAGUUCUCAGUCCUUUUUUUUUUGGUUGAAACUAACAUAACAUGGUCAGCAUAUGCGAAGAAGAUUUGGAAAGGCAAAGGCAAUAAUUUUGAAAAAUUUUCUCCUCAGUAGUCUAUUUUUUUCUUCUUAAAACUAACAUAACAUGAUUAGCAUGUAUGGAGAAGAUUUGGAAAGCUAAAUACAUAAUUUUGAUUAACAUUGCUUCAUGGUACAUUGCAAGUUGAGUAGGGUCAGCAUGUGUGAAGAAGAUUUGGAAAGGCAAAGACAAUAAUUUUGAAAAUUUUUCUUGCAUUAGUAGUCUAUUUUUUUUUUCUUCCUUAAAACUAACAUAACAUGAUUAACAUGUGUGGAGAAGAUUUGGAAAGUCAUUAGAAGUCUAUUUUUUUUUUCUUCCUUAAAACUAACAUAACAUGAUUACCAUUUGUGGAGAAGAUUUGGAUUUUUUUUCUUCCUUAAAACUAAUAAUAAUAUAACAUGAUUAGUAUGUGGACUUUUUUU